GCCUGGCUGGCUCAGUUGGUAGAGCGUCCAACUCUUGAUCUCAGUGUAGUGAGUUCAAGCCCCACGUUGGGUA
rfam:Ailuropoda melanoleuca scaffold921_90, whole genome shotgun sequence.